CCCUGCAAGAAAGGACCAGUCUCGCCGACCACAGCAGCAGCGAUGUUAGCUGCAACCUGCAGAGGGAUCACCACCAUGAGCACUUUCUUCUCCUUGUCCUGCAGGAAUGGCUUCAGGAACGACCACCCGGUCCCAAUCAGCGCAAUGACAGCGAACAAGAUGACACCCUUCACGAGCUGGAACAGGUAGAACAUGACAUCCCACCCAUGCGGUGUCCCGGCCGUGCGGAUGUAGUGCUGGUCCUCGGCCGCCGAGAUGCAAUAGAGCAUCCGCGCGACGAGCAGACCCGACAUGAGGUGGUGGAUGCGGUGCGCGGAGAGGCGGUUGCGGUGGAGGGUGACGUAGAGCCACCCGGCCAGGAACACGACAUAGCAGACGGCGAAGAAGGCGUAGAUCGUUGGGACAGAGGCCAUGCCGACGGAGAGGUAGUCCCUGGUGCCGUCCGGGUUGGUGUUGUACAUGUCGGUGCGGACCUCCAUGCUGACGCUGGUCUCCGGCGCGCAGUUGGCGAAGAAGAGGCUGUACUCGUCGGGGUGGGUGAUGGGGAAAGUCUGGUUGUGGUAGCCGUUGUCGUCGACCUCUGCGAAGGUGAAGAGAGGCCUGACGUAGGGGCUGGCGAGGACGCACGUGGGGGAGGAUUCCGGGUUGGGGUUCAGAUCCGUGGGCGCCGGCUGAUCGUAGAUGGCCUCGAAGAGCGACUCGUCAGAGAGGAGGAAGAAGCCGAGCUGCGCGGGGUCGGGCUUAGCGAGCUUGGAGGAGUACUUGGCGCCGGUGACGGAGAUAGACACCAUGCCGUGGAGGCCGAAGCCGAACUUCUCGAAGAGGAUGGAGCCGCGGGAGUCGUCCUUGAAGGACUCCUGCUUGAUCUCCGCCGCCGCAGGACUGAGGAGGACCCCGGAUACGGCGAGGAGGAGGAGGACCGCGCGGGCGGCGGCGGCGGCGGCGAGGCCCAUCGCGGCGAGAUCUGUGGGGAGAUGGGGGGAGGCGGAGCAGAGGUGAGCGAAUUAGCCGGACGGACGGGACGGGGGUGAAUUCUUCUCGGCUUUGGG
rnacentral:misc_RNA from 1 species